ACUCCUAAGAGGCCAACUGCCUGGUAAUUAAUCUCUGGAAACCAGAUGCAAAUUUCUGCAGCCUGCCCUCCUCCAAUGCCACCUUCUGAUUCUCCAGCUCCUCCUUCUUACCUCCUUCCAUCUUGGCAUUUAAAGACUGAUUAUAUCAAUUUUGAAUUUCUAUCAGCAAUCUAGCAAGAUGUUUCCCCAGAGCUUUCUCACAUUCUCCAACUAAAAUGAAGAGGAGAAAAACAACAACAACAGAUUACUUGGGAAAAGUCACUGUGUUCAGCACUAAAAUUAAAGGAAAAUUUCUUCUGUGAAUUCAUAUGAAAAAGACAUUGAGUAAUUGAGGACAAAAGCUUCUUAACCACAUCCUCACAAUUAAUAUUUUUAAACAUUUAGUGGAAAGUUUCUCAGUGAAGUUAGUGGAAUAAUGUAUAAGAACAACUCGUCCACAGCAAUUUAAUAGAGAAAAGAAUGUGGCCCAUGUACAAUUUUCUUUCAUGGCCUUGUUUAACCAAAAUAAAACUUAGCAUUAGUCAAUACAA